rnacentral:rRNA from 1 species
UACAGAGGUCUCAACCGUUGUUCGGAUUCAUUGGGCGUAAAGGGUGCGUAGGCGGCGGGGUAAGUCAGGUGUGAAAUCUCGGGGCUCAACCCCGAAACUGCACUUGAUACUGCCUCGCUUGAGUACUGGAGAGGAGACUGGAAUUUACGGUGUAGCGGUGAAAUGCGUAGAUAUCGUAAGGAAGACCAGUGGCGAAGGCGGGUCUCUGGACAGUUCCUGACACUGAGGCACGAAGGCCAGGGGAGCAAACGGG